rnacentral:tRNA from 1 species
GCCGGCAUAGCUCAGCUGGUAGAGCAACCGCCUUGUAAGCGGUAGGUCGUCUGUUCGAGUCAGACUGUCGGCACCA